rnacentral:rRNA from 1 species
CAGUCGCCGCGGUAAAACGAAGGGUGCAAGCGUUAAUCGGAAUUACUGGGCGUAAAGCGUGCGUAGGCGGUUUGUUAAGUCUGCUGUGAAAUCCCCGGGCUCAACCUGGGAAUGGCAGUGGAUACUGGCAAGCUAGAGUGUGUCAGAGGAUGGUGGAAUUCCCGGUGUAGCGGUGAAAUGCGUAGAGAUCGGGAGGAACAUCAGUGGCGAAGGCGGCCAUCUGGGACAACACUGACGCUGAGGCACGAAAGCGUGGGGAGCAAACAGGAUUAGAUACCCGUGUAGUCCCUGUCUCUUAUAC